ensembl:lncRNA
AGUAAUAAUUUUAUUUCUUCAGUUUCGUGGGUUUUUUUGGUAGCGUUUUGGUGAACGCGGGGGUUGGAGCGGCCGCCUCCCGCUCUGUGAGGGAACGGCUGUGGGCUCCGCUGUGCGGGACCCUCCGUCGGCCUUUGUGCCCGUAGCAAAGCACUGCGUGCUGCGAGGCGUGGCUGAAGCCAACAGGUGCGAACUCAAGUGUUAAAGUAGAUUAAGAAUACAUCUCAGAUCAAAUUCCUUCUCCAGAAGAAGCGGUGCUGCUCAGUUUUUCUGGCAGGAUAGUUUUCCUGUUUGUUUUUCUCAUCAGCUGCGGCACCCCAGAAAUAACUGCGGUGCCUUUCGCUUCUGCUGCCAUUUUGGAGCUGCUUCCCAGAGAGAGGAGAUGAGGUUCCACUUGUAGGAAUUCCCUCCCCCCAUGGCAGGACAGGCGCUAUCAGAACCAGGAGGUGUGCUGGAGGAGGAUUGCUUUGCUCCUGGCUGAUGGACUAAAGUAAACAUAGAGAAAAAGGUGCACACAGUCAUCAUUGUCAUCAGCAACUGGAGAUGGACUAGAAGAAUGUAACGGAGCACACAUCUGGCAGCGUGACAUUAUUCCUAUGGGGUGCAAUGUGCCCUCUGUGCACGGAAUCAUCACUGUGGAUUUCUGCUUCAGUCCUGUGGGCAUGAGCUGUACUGUGUGUGCACUGAGGAGAGCCAGAAAGGAGCACGGAGUCAUCACCUGAGGGGAAACAAAAUUCAGAAACGAGGAGGGGAAAUUUCGGUGCUUAUUUUUAGACUCUGUGGGAAAACUUGAAACUUUGUGUUGCUACACACAAUUCAUGCCAACCCUCAGUGGUUCGGCUCCCAAGAGAGACAGAACACUUCUUCUGACGAACUGUCUCAUCAGAAGACCUUGGAGGCUGUGCGCAUUUGUGGGGUGGAGCACAUGUGUGCACACAUGCUUAUGAGUACAAAAUUCACUCACUCCCUGACUGAUACAAAACAUUGCCAAUCACUGCGUGAGAAAAUGGCCACAACAUAUAAAAUGGUUUACUUCACAGCAUUUAAACUUGCCCAAAGCCAGCGAGCAAUUAGUUUUUUUUGGUACUGAAUUAUAUACACUUGUAUCCCUCCCACUGAGAUUCUUAUCUAUGAAACAGAGAGCUCUUAAAACAAGAAAAAGAAAGUAAAAAGUAGGCCAAUUUACUUGGAGUUGUUGUUGUUGUUGUUAACUUCAGAACAGAUGGUAACAUAUCACAAUGGAAGUUUUAUAAAAAAUUCCAUCUUUUAACUUUGAGUGCAGGCCUCAAAUUUUUCCCUGGUGAAAAUAUGGAGCGUGAGUCAUUAAGCAUGCUAUGCUGUAUCUGCAUGGGAUUUUCACUUACUGCAUUCAGAAAAGUCAGAAAGCUGCUCCAUUACAGCAGAUGAUUUUUUUUUUUCUUUUCCACCUGGGCAAAUGGCCAAUUCCAUCAUCUCAGGCUCAGCACUAUGAACAAGGAAGGUACAGUCU